AACGUAGGGCGCGAGCGUUGUCCGGAUUUAUUGGGCGUAAAGAGCUCGUAGGCGGCUUGUCGCGUCGACUGUGAAAACCCGAGGCUCAACUUCGGGCUUGCAGUCGAUACGGGCAGGCUAGAGUUCGGUAGGGGAGACUGGAAUUCCUGGUGUAGCGGUGAAAUGCGCAGAUAUCAGGAGGAACACCGGUGGCGAAGGCGGGUCUCUGGGCCGAUACUGACGCUGAGGAGCGAAAGCGUGGGGAGCGAACAGG
rnacentral:rRNA from 1 species